AUUGAACGCUGGCGGCAUGCUUUACACAUGCAAGUCGAACGGAUCAGAGGGGCUUGCUCCUCUGGUCAGUGGCGAACGGGUGAGUAAUGCAUCGGAACGUACCGUGUAGUGGGGGAUAACCCGGCGAAAGUCGGAUUAAUACCGCAUACGAUCUACGGAUGAAAGUGGGGGACCGCAAGGCCUCACGCUAUACGAGCGGCCGAUGUCGGAUUAGCUAGUUGGUAGGGUAAAGGCCUACCAAGGCGACGAUCCGUAGCGGGUCUGAGAGGAUGAUCCGCCCCACUGGGACUGAGACACGGCCCAGACUCCUACGGGAGGCAGCAGUGGGGAAUAUUGGACAAUGGGCGCAAGCCUGAUCCAGCCAUGCCGCGUGAGUGACGAAGGUCUUCGGAUUGUAAAGCUCUUUCGGCCGGGAAGAAAUCGCAUGGGCUAAUACCUUGCAUGGAUGACGGUACCGGAAUAAGAAGCACCGGCUAACUACGUGCCAGCCGCCGCCGUAAGAC
rnacentral:rRNA from 1 species